GCUUGGGCUUAGGCUUAGGCUUAGGCUUAGGCUUAGGCUUAGGCUUAGGCUUAGGCUUAGGCUUAGGCUUAGGCUUAGGCUUAGGCUU
ensembl:ncRNA Y75B8A.58 ncRNA